GUAUUGGCCUACCGUGGCAAUGACGGGUAACGGGGAAUUAGGGUUCGAUUCCGGAGAGGGAGCCUGAGAAACGGCUACCACAUCUAAGGAAGGCAGCAGGCGCGCAAAUUACCCAAUCCUAAUACAGGGAGGUAGUGACAAGAAAUAACAAUACAGGACUUUAACAGUUUUGUAAUUGGAAUGAGUUGAGUAUAAACCCCUUUACAAGUAUCAAUUGGAGGGCAAGUCUGGUGCCAGCAGCCGCGGUAAUUCCAGCUCCAAUAGCGUAUAUUAAAGUUGUUGCAGUUAAAAAGCUCGUAGUUGGAUUUCUGUUAAUAAUUUAUAUAUAAUAUUUAACAUAUUUAUAUAAUAUUAACAUAAUUCAUAUUACUAUUUAUAGUAUAUGAAACUUUACUUUGAGAAAAUUAGAGUGCUUAAAGCAGGCUUUUGCCUUGAAUACUAGAGCAUGGAAUAAUAUUAAAGAUUUUUAUCUUUCUUAUUGGUUCUAAGAUAGAAAUAAUGAUUAAUAGGGACAGUUUGGGGCAUUUGUAUUUAA
rnacentral:rRNA from 1 species